CCUACGGGUGGCUGCAGUGGGGAAUAUUGGACAAUGGGCGAAAGCCUGAUCCAGCCAUGCCGCGUGGGUGAAGAAGGCCUUCGGGUUGUAAAGCACUUUCAGUGGGGAAGAAAGCCUUGGGGCUAAUACCCUCGAGGAAGGACAUCACCCACAGAAGAAGCACCGGCUAACUCCGUGCCAGCAGCCGCGGUAAUACGGAGGGUGCGAGCGUUAAUCGGAAUUACUGGGCGUAAAGCGCGCGUAGGCGGUCUGAUAAGCCGGUUGUGAAAGCCCCGGGCUCAACCUGGGAACGGCAUCCGGAACUGUCAGGCUAGAGUGCAGGAGAGGAAGGUAGAAUUCCCGGUGUAGCGGUGAAAUGCGUAGAGAUCGGGAGGAAUACCAGUGGCGAAGGCGGCCUUCUGGACUGACACUGACGCUGAGGUGCGAAAGCGUGGGUAGCAAACAGGAUUAGAUACCCUUGUAGUC
rnacentral:rRNA from 1 species